UAAAAAUCAAUGGAAAAAUAUCCGGGGGUGAGGAUUAAAAAAAAAAAAAGAAGAAGAAGUACGCAUUUGAUGAAGCUCAGAAAACAGAAGGGAUCAGUGUUGUGAGGACAUUUAGCAGACUAUCUUCUCCUACUUGGGAAUGUGGAGGCCAUAUGUGAGCAGUUAUGAGGACAUAGAUACUUAAUGUGGGUUUGAAGACUGUUUGUAAGCUUGGUCCUUCUAAGGGUUUCAUGUGACUGCAUCUGACCUUUCUACUGCAGUGGUUGCUAGCACGCCUCCUAGAGAGCAGCAUUGCCACAUUAGUUUAGAGAAGAGUAAUCAAGCUCUCAAAAUAUUCACUGGUCAUUGGUCCAUAAUUUGCAUGUGUCUGUAUAACUUGACCACACAUUUUCAAGUAAUGCAUUUUUCCUCUGAGGGGAAUUUCUUUAAUUUUUCUUCUAGGGAAUUUUCCUUCACUGGUAUUUCAAGUCUGCAGAAAAAGAAGAGAUGUAGCAGCUUUAGAAAUAUGUUUCGAGGGCUCCUGAGGGUCUUCUGUGAGCCUCCAGUAGAAGUCCUUGGUGUUGGUGAUGUUUGAUGGUGUGUGGGGUGGAGAGAAGAAAAUGAAAGCAACUUUGUUGGAACAGGACAAAGACAGCUGUGGGGCAGGCUUGCAGAGGCCUAGCAGGAAACCUAACCAUGCAGACACCCAGGAAUCAGACGACAGAUGCCAAGGCCCUGCACACUAACAAGGCACAUGUCCUGCCUGUUCUGCUUGUUGGAACAUUUGAAGAGGAACAUACGCCCUCCUCCCUCCCGGUGGUGGGUGCUGCAGUCAACCAGGAGUCCAGAGCUGCAGAUUCUGUACCCUCUCAUCUGCUGCUGUCCUCCUGGCUGGUGAGAUGGGAGAAACUCAGAAACGCACACAGAGAGAAAAACAAAAUAAUCAAAUGUGGGCAAAAUAGCAAUUAUUUUUUUCCUCUUGUGGGAUAUGAGAAAUGAGUGGUGGACAUUGAGGGAUAAAGUUGAAGGGCUUCAUGUUGGUGGGAAAUGCCUUUAUUUGGUUGCAAAAGCCUCCCCACGUGAGUCACUAUGGAAGGAAUGUAGCAGGAGGAGUUGUGACACAUUGUCAUGAAAAUUAAGAGCUAUCUCAGUCAUCAGGUCCUGCUGGAUUGAAGAACAAGACAAACGGAAGAUGCAGAAUAAUCCCAGAGAACCCGGAGGCUGGGGAGGAGCAUUACAUUGUAGGAGGGAGCCUGUCUUGUCAGCCACACCUCCAGACGUUGCGGAGCUGCUUAUUGAAAUGAGUGCGAGCACCCUCCCUGCAACUGAGGACCUGCUCAGUAAGGGCAGUGUUAGCGCAAAAACCCCAGCUCUGGCAGACCUUUAGCAAUAUGGCCGACAGUUGAAACUAUUUUCUGCUUUAUCCCAAAUCUGGACAUGUUUCAUUGCUGGUAGACCAACCCAAUAAGUAACUCUUCUGAGAUGGGCUUGGUUUGUUUGGAGAAUCUUGCACUUACAAAAUAUAUUUUAAAAUCAUUUGAAAUUUUAAAAUUUUCGACUUACAGAACAAAUAUAAGACAGAGAGUACCCGUAUACUUCCACCUAACUUUCCUAAUGUCAGCAUUUUACAGAACCAUAUUACAAUGUUCAAAAUAAACAUUGGACCAACCAACAACAGGAAAUCAA